AUUGAACGCUGGCGGCAGGCCUAACACAUGCAAGUCGAACGGUAACAGGGAUCAGCUUGCUGAUUCGCUGACGAGUGGCGGACGGGUGAGUAAUGUCUGGGAAACUGCCUGAUGGAUGGGGAUAACUACUGGAAACGGUAGCUAAUACCGCAUAACGUCGCAAGAGCAAAGAGGGGGACCUUCGGGCCUCCUUCCAUCCGAUGUGCCCAGAUGGGAUUAUCCAGUAGGUGGGGUAAAGGCUCACCUAGGCGACGAUCCCUAACUGGUCUGAGAGGUUGACCAGGCACACUGGAACUGAGAAACGGUCCAGACUCCUACGGGAGGCAGCAGUGGGGAAUAUUGCACAAUGGGCGCAAGCCUGAUGCAGCCACGCCGCGUGUAUGAAGAAGGCCUUCGGGUUGUAAAGUACUUUCAGCGGGGAGGAAGGGAGUAAAGUUAAUACCUUUGCUCAUUGACGUUACCCGAAGAAGAAGCACCGGCUAACUCCGUG
rnacentral:rRNA from 1 species